rnacentral:rRNA from 1 species
CCUACCCUUUACUCGGGGAUAGCCUUUCGAAAGAAAGAUUAAUACCCGAUAGCAUAAUGAUUCCGCAUGGUUUCAUUAUUAAAGGAUUCCGGUAAAGGAUGGGGAUGCGUUCCAUUAGGUUGUUGGUGGGGUAACGGCCCACCAAGCCUUCGAUGGAUAGGGGUUCUGAGAGGAAGGUCCCCCACAUUGGAACUGAGACACGGUCCAAACUCCUACGGGAGGCAGCAUG